rnacentral:rRNA from 1 species
UACGUAGGUGGCAAGCGUUGUCCGGAAUUACUGGGUGUAAAGGGAGCGUAGACGGAAUUGCAAGUCUGAUGUGAAAAUCCGGGGCCCAACCCCGGAACUGCAUUGGAAACUGUAUUUCUAGAGUGUCGGAGAGGCAAGUGGAAUUCCUGGUGUAGCGGUGAAAUGCGUAGAUAUCAGGAGGAACACCAGUGGCGAAGGCGGCUUGCUGGACGAUGACUGACGUUGAGGCUCGAAAGCGUGGGGAGCAA